GGAACAACAGUUGGUGGAGAAAUGAAGAGAAAGAGGGAAGAAGAAAACAAAAACGGCAUGGAGAUAGUGUGGCAAACGCCGGCCAACCCACCUGAGAAACGCGAUUACAUCUUUCUCAAUGGGAGGCGGCAUGUGAGGCCUUACUACUUCGAGUUCAUCUCUCAUGUCAGCCGUCACUUUCUUCAUACAUAACUUACAUGUAUCCCUUUUACAAAACCCUAGUUAUGCUCUUUUUUUCCCCAAUGGUUGUUUUGACAGGUUAAGAAUCGCUGGGCAGGAAAGACCAUCGUCGAUUUGUUC
rnacentral:misc_RNA from 1 species